CCUACGGGUGGCAGCAGUCGAGAAUCAUUCACAAUGGGGGAAACCCUGAUGGUGCGACGCCGCGUGGGUGAAUGAAGGUCUUCGGAUUGUAAACCCCUGUCAUGUGGGAGCAAAUUAUAAAGAUAGCACCACAAGAGGAAGAGACGGCUAACUCUGUGCCAGCAGCCGCGGUACUACAGAGGUCUCAAGCGUUGUUCGGAAUCACUGGGCGUAAAGCGUGCGUAGGCUGUUUCGUAAGUCGUGUGUGAAAGGCGCGGGCUCAACCCGCGGACGGCACAUGAUACUGCGGGACUAGAGUAAUGGAGGGGGAACCGGAAUUCUCGGUGUAGCAGUGAAAUGCGUAGAUAUCGGGAGGAACACUCGUGGCGAAGGCGGGUUCCUGGACAUUAACUGACGCUGAGGCACGAAGGCCAGGGGAGCGAAAGGGAUUAGAUACCCGGGUAGUC
rnacentral:rRNA from 1 species